rnacentral:misc_RNA from 1 species
GAUGAAGAACGUAGCGAAAUGCGAUAAGUACUGUGAAUUGCAGAAUUCAGUGAAUCAUCGAAUCUUUGAACGCACAUUGCGCCCCUUGGUAUCCCGAGGGGCAUGCCUGUUCGAGCGUCAUUUCACCACUCAAGCCUGGCUUGGUGUUGGGCGACGUCCUCUUUGGGGACGCGCCUCGAAACGCUCGGCGGCGUGGCACCGGCUUUAAGCGUAGCAGAAUCUUUCGCUUUGGAAGUCGGGGCCCCGUCUGCCGGAAGACCUGCUCGCAAGGUUGACCUCGGAUCAGGCAGGGAUACCCGCUGAACUUAAGCAUAUCAAUAAGCGGAGGA